rnacentral:rRNA from 1 species
AGAGUUUGAUCCUGGCUCAAGAUGAACGCUGGCGGCAUGCCUAAUACAUGCAAGUCGAACGAGAGACCUUCGGGUCUCUAGUGGCGAACGGGUGAGUAACACGUAGGGAACCUGCCCGCGCACCGGGAAUACGCUCUGGAAACGGAGAACAAAUCCCGAUGUACAGGAAGGAGGCAUCUUCUUUCUGUGAAACAUCCUUUAGGGGAUGGGGCGCGGAUGGACCUGCGGUGCAUUAGUUUGUUGGCGGGGUAAAGGCCCACCAAGACGAUGAUGCAUAGCCGGCCUGAGAGGGCGGACGGGCACAUUUGUGACUGAGACACGGCCCAGACUCCUGCGGGAGGCAGCAGUAGGGAAUUUUCGUCAAUGGGCGCAAGCCUGAACGAGCGAUGCCGCGUGAGUGAAGAAGGCCUUCUGGUCGUAAAGCUCUGUUGCGGGGGAAAAAAGGCAACAUCAGGAAAUGGGUGCUGACUGAUGGAGCCCCGCCCGAAAGUCCCGGCUAACUCCGUGCCACCAGCCGCGGUAAUACUGAGGGUGCAAGCGUUAAUCUCAAUUAUUGUGCGUAAAGCACACGCAGCCGGUUUUCUAAGUCGUAUGUGAAAUCCCCCGGCUCCUCCUCUCAUCUACAUCUUAUACUGCCAAGCUUGAGUCUAGCAGAGGGGGGUAGAAUUCCAUGUGUAGCGGUAAAAUGCGUAGAUAUAUGGAGGAACACCAGUGGCGAAGGCGGCCCCCUGGCCUGUUGCUGACGCUGAGGCACGAAAGCGUGGGGAGCAAAUAGGAUUAGAUACCCUAGUAGUCCACGCCGUAAACGAUGAGGACCAAGUGUUGGGGGUGAAACCUCAGUGCUGAAGUUAACGCAGUGAGUCCUCCGCCUGGGGAGUAUGCACGCAAGUGUGAAACUCAAAGGAAUUGACGGGGGCCCGCACAAGCGGUGGAGUAUGUGGUUUAAUUCGAAGCAACGCGAAGAACCUUACCAGGCCUUGACAUGGGAUGCGAAGAUGCAGAGAUGCAUCGGAGGUCAACAUCCACACAGGUGGUGCAUGGUUGUCGUCAGCUCGUGUCGUGAGAUGUUGGGUCAAGUCCCGCAACGAGCGCAACCCUUGUGGCAUGUUGCUAACAGGAAAAGCUGAGGACUCAUGCCAGACUGCCGGUGACAAACCGGAGGAAGGCGGGGAUGACGUCAAAUCAUCAUGCCCCUUAUGGCCUGGGCUACACACGUACUACAAUGGCGGCUACAAAGAGCAGCGAGACAGGGAUGUCGAGCGAAUCUCAUAAAAGCCGUCCCAGUUCGGAUUGGAGGCUGCAACCCGCCUCCAUGAAGUUGGAAUCGCUAGUAAUCGCGGAUCAGCAUGCCGCGGUGAAUACGUUCCCGGGCCUUGCACACACCGCCCGUCA